rnacentral:rRNA from 1 species
UAACGCGUGAGGAACCUGCCUUGAAGAGGGGGACAACAGUUGGAAACGACUGCUAAUACCGCAUGAAGCAUAGGGGUCGCAUGAUUCUUAUGCCAAAGAUUUAUCGCUUCAAGAUGGCCUCGCGUCUGAUUAGCUGGUUGGCGGGGUAACGGCCCACCAAGGCGACGAUCAGUAGCCGGACUGAGAGGUUGAACGGCCACAUUGGGACUGAGAUACGGCCCAG